rnacentral:misc_RNA from 1 species
AACGCACAUUGCGCCCAUUAGUAUUCUAGUGGGCAUGCCUGUUCGAGCGUCAUUUCAACCCUCAAGCACCUGUUGCUUGGUGUUGGGGUUCUGUAGGCCAUCUGGCCCGCAGGCCCCGAAAGUCAUUGGCGGGCACGCUAGGUCCCCGAGCGCAGUAAUUUUUUCUCGCUUAGGGCGUCCGGCGCUGUUCCAGCCGCUAAACCCCCAACUUCUAAGGUUUGACCUCGGAUCAGGUAGGAAUACCCGCUGAACUUAA